rnacentral:rRNA from 1 species
GAGGCGGAGCGAAUCCCCAAAAGGCGUCUCAGUUCGGAUUGCAGGCUGCAACUCGCCUGUAUGAAGUCGGAAUUGCUAGUAAUCGUGGAUCAGCAUGCCGCGGUGAAUACGUUCCCGGGCCUUGUACACACCGCCCGUCACACCAUGGGAGCCGGUAAUACCCGAAGUCAGUAGUCCAACCUCGUGAGGACGCUGCCGAAGGUAGGAUUGGCGGCUGGGGUGAAGUCGUAACAAGGUAAC